UUGAAUUCAGUACAUCUACUAGCCGCUCGGA
rnacentral:piRNA from 1 species